rnacentral:rRNA from 1 species
UGACGAGCGGCGGACGGGUGAGUAAUGCAUAGGAAUCUGCCCGAUAGUGGGGGAUAACCUGGGGAAACCCAGGCUAAUACCGCAUACGUCCUACGGGAGAAAGGGGGCUUCGGCUCCCGCUAUCGGAUGAGCCUAUGUCGGAUUAGCUAGUUGGUGAGGUAACGGCUCACCAAGGCCACGAUCCGUAGCUGGUCUGAGAGGAUGAUCAGCCACAUCGGGACUGAGACACGGCCCGAACUCCUACGGGAGGCAGCAGUGGGGAAUAUUGGACAAUGGGGGGAACCCUGAUCCAGCCAUGCCGCGUGUGUGAAGAAGGCCCUCGGGUUGUAAAGCACUUUCAGCGAGGAAGAACGCCUAGCGGUUAAUACCCGCUAGGAAAGACAUCACUCGCAGAAGAAGCACCGGCUAACUCCGUGCCAGCAGCCGCGGUAAUACGGAGGGUGCAAGCGUUAAUCGGAAUUACUGGGCGUAAAGCGCGCGUAGGUGGCUUGAUAAGCCGGUUGUGAAAGCCCCGGGCUCAACCUGGGAACGGCAUCCGGAACUGUCAAGCUAGAGUGCAGGAGAGGAAGGUAGAAUUCCCGGUGUAGCGGUGAAAUGCGUAGAGAUCGGGAGGAAUACCAGUGGCGAAGGCGGCCUUCUGGACUGACACUGACACUGAGGUGCGAAAGCGUGGGUAGCAAACAGGAUUAGAUACCCUGGUAGUCCACGCCGUAAACGAUGUCGACCAGCCGUUGGGUGCCUAGCGCACUUUGUGGCGAAGUUAACGCGAUAAGUCGACCGCCUGGGGAGUACGGCCGCAAGGUUAAAACUCAAAUGAAUUGACGGGGGCCCGCACAAGCGGUGGAGCAUGUGGUUUAAUUCGAUGCAACGCGAAGAACCUUACCUACUCUUGACAUCCUGCGAAUUCGGUAGAGAUACCUUAGUGCCUUCGGGAACGCAGAGACAGGUGCUGCAUGGCUGUCGUCAGCUC